GCAGGAUCAACCAGGUAGCACUCCUUGUUYGACACCGGCACGCAUGAGCCAUCUCUUUUGAGGGAGAGGGUCACCUCGUACGCGGAAGUCGUCUGUGCUUAGCGUAAAACGCUGAAUUGGGCAUGYGACGAAUGAACGUCCAUUCCCUCUCAACAUUCUGCAUCCCGGGGCACAACUAGAGGCCGUACACCUGACCAUCAACGCCUUGUUUUCGUCGUCGAGGUUGGGGGACGGAUCCAGCUACAAUGGUCCACCGAACACCCGGAAGGAUAUCUGGCGGAAACGAAUGAUUUAGGAAAACAAUACCGUCGGUAGGAACGAAACACAGAAAACCUUACCUCGCCCA
rnacentral:misc_RNA from 1 species